ACAACGCUGGCGGCAGGCUAACACAUGCAGUCGAGCGCGCCUUCGGGCGAGCGGCGGACGGGUUAGUAACGCGUGGGAACGUGCCCAGAUCUACGGAAUAGCCACUGGAAACGGUGAGUAAUACCGUAUACGCCCUUCGGGGGAAAGAUUUAUCGGAUUUGGAUCGGCCCGCGUUAGAUUAGGUAGUUGGUGGGGUAACGGCCUACCAAGCCUACGAUCUAUAGCUGGUUUUAGAGGAUGAUCAGCAACACUGGGACUGAGACACGGCCCAGACUCCUACGGGAGGCAGCAGUGGGGAAUCUUGGACAAUGGGGGCAACCCUGAUCCAGCCAUGCCGCGUGAGUGAAGAAGGCCCUAGGGUCGUAAAACUCUUUCGCCUGUGAUGAUAAUGACAGUAGCAGGUAAAGAAACCCCGGCUAACUCCGUGCCAGCAGCCGCGGUAAUACGGAGGGGGUUCAGCGUUGUUCGGAAUUACUGGGCGUAAAGCGCACGUAGGCGGAUUAGAAAGUUAGAGGUGAAAUCCCAGGGGCUCAACCCUGGAACUGCCUUUAAAACCACUAGUCUAGAGUUCGAGAGAGGUGAGUGGAAUUCCGAGUGUAGAGGUGAACAUUCGUAGAUAUUCGGAGGAACACCAGUGGCGAAGGCGGUCACUGGCUCGAUACUGACGCUGAGGUGCG
rnacentral:rRNA from 1 species